rnacentral:rRNA from 1 species
GCGCGCUUACACAUGCAAGUCGAGCGGUAAGGCCUUUCGGGGUACACGAGCGGCGAACGGGUGAGUAACACGUGGGUGACCUGCCCUCAGCUCUGGGAUAAGCCUGGGAAACUGGGUCUAAUACCGGAUAUGACUACUGAUCGCAUGGUUGGUGGUGGAAAGUUUUUCGGCUGGGGAUGGGCCCGCGGCCUAUCAGCUUGUUGGUGGGGUGAUGGCCUACCAAGGCGACGACGGGUAGCCGGCCUGAGAGGGCGACCGGCCACACUGGGACUGAGACACGGCCCAGACUCCUACGGGAGGCAGCAGUGGGGAAUAUUGCGCAAUGGGCGGAAGCCUGACGCAGCGACGCCGCGUGGGGGAUGACGGCCUUCGGGUUGUAAACCUCUUUCGACAGGGACGAAGAGUGAUUGACGGUACCUGUAGAAGAAGCACCGGCCAACUACGUGCCAGCAGCCGCGGUAAUACGUAGGGUGCGAGCGUUGUCCGGAAUUAUUGGGCGUAAAGAGCUCGUAGGCGGUGUGUCACGUCGAUCGUGAAAACUUUCAGCUUAACUGGGAGCUUGCGGUCGAUACGGGCAUCACUGGAGUUCGGCAGGGGAGACUGGAAUUCAAGGUGUAGCGGUGAAAUGCGCAGAUAUCUUGAGGAACACCGGUGGCGAAGGCGGGUCUCUGGGCCGAUACUGACGCUGAGGAGCGAAAGCGUGGGGAGCGAACAGGAUUAGAUACCCUGGUAGUCCACGCCGUAAACGGUGGGCACUAGGUGUGGGGGCCAUUCCACGGUCUCUGUGCCGCAGCUAACGCAUU